ACGUAGGGAGCAAGCGUUGUCCGGAUUUACUGGGUGUAAAGGGUGCGUAGGCGGCUUUGCAAGUCAGAUGUGAAAUCUAUGGGCUCAACCCAUAGCCUGCAUUUGAAACUGCAGAGCUUGAGUGAAGUAGAGGCAGGCGGAAUUCCCCGUGUAGCGGUGAAAUGCGUAGAGAUGGGGAGGAACACCAGUGGCGAAGGCGGCCUGCUGGGCUUUAACUGACGCUGAGGCACGAAAGCGUGGGUAGCAAACAGGAUUAGAUACCCUGGUAGUCCACGCUGUAAACGAUGAUUACUAGGUGUGGGGGGUCUGACCCCUUCCGUGCCGGAGUUAACACAAUAAGUAAUCCACCUGGGGAGUACGGCCGCAAGGUUGCAACUCAAAUGAAUUGACGG
rnacentral:rRNA from 1 species